CCCGCGGAGCCCGCGUCCCGGGCAGGGCUGACCUGCGGCUGAGAGAGGCAAGUGAUGCUUCCGAAACUCCAAGCAGCAGACAUAGCCGUGGUCCUGGAGUUGUAACAGUGAACAGAAGGACAUUUGCGCCCUCGUGGAGAUGACAUGCUAAAGCGGCAAAGGGAAAGAAGGUGCUGUUGACAUAUAAUAAAUAGGAAAUUAUCCUUAUCUGCCCAUUGACAAAAACUGGAGAGCAGCCUGUCCAAUGAAAUUAUAAGUCACAUAUAAAAUUUUAAAUGGAAUUAUGUGUAUGUAAAUGACAGCAACGCAAUGCAACUUGACUGAAAUGAUGAAUAAAGCAAGAAAGACUGAGUCAUGCUUCCAAGGUCACACAGCAGUGUUAGAACCGGAAUGUGGUUUGGCACUUUCCACUUGGCAGUCCUCCCGACCCAGUGAUCACACACCCACCAAGGGCCUGUGGGCAGCAGCUCCCUCAAGAAGCUGAGUCUUCUGCAAAACAGUCCUUAGACCUCAACAUCUGACAUCAUGUUUCUGUGCUUACGAAUCAUCUGCUUCUACCAUUAGAAUUCAAGUUCCACGAGGGCAAGGGUUUUGUUUUGUUUUUUUUAUUUUUGUCCAGUUUUGUUUACAAGAUACAUCCAAGGCACCUGGAAGAGUAGCAAUGCCUCA